rnacentral:rRNA from 1 species
CCCUUAGAUGUUCUGGGCCGCACGCGUGCUACACUGAGUGGAUCAGCGGGUCAGGUUACGCGAGAGCGUUUCCUAAUCUUCAACUCCGCUCGUGAUGGGGAUUGACGGUUGCAAUUUUCCGUCAUGAACGAGGAAUACCUUGUAAGCGCGGGUCAUCAUCCCGCGCUGAAUACGUCCCUGCCCUUUGUACACACCGCCCGUCGCUCCUACCGAUUGAGUGGUCCGGUGAGGCUUUGGGAUCUAAGCGAAAAGAGCGUUUCGCUCCUUUUGCUGGGAGAACUCAGUCGAACCUUAUCAUUUAGAGGAAGGAGAAGUCGUAACA